AAAUAAUUGUAUCUAUUUUUUAAUGCAUGUUCAUGAUCAUUCACAGCACUUACUUUUAUUAUUUUAUAGCUGAAGUACUCGAUUUGCACAGCGCCGGCAUAUAAUCAUCAAGUUUGAUGAAAUGUCCUAAUAUGUAGAUGUAGAUGCUAAGUCAUUCAGUCACCUAGCUUGUGAGAAUGGAAUGCUCACAAAAAGGACAAGAGCGAGAGAGCUGUAUGGAAAUUUACACAAAGGGUCAGUUAACGGAGUAAGCUGAUAUGGAGGAUAAUAUAUCAAAGGCAGCAUAGGCGUCCAAACUCCUGUUCAAGGUGCUUUUAAUCAGAAGCUUAAGAGACAAAAGACGAGCCAUUGACAAGGCAAAA